UGUGGUAUUUCCUGAACCCUCUCCUGUCCAUUACCACCAUUCAUUACCAAGCAAAAAUGUGGCUAAACCUUGUGUCCUUCCUAGUAGUCCUCAAAGGAGUCCGAUCUCAAGUCCAGUUGGUGGAGUCCGGAGGGGGUGUGAGACGACCUGGGGAGUCCCUCCGUCUCUCCUGCCAAGCCUCUGGAUUCACCUUCAGCAGCUAUUACAUGAACUGGGUGAGACAGGCUCCAGGGAAAGGCCUGGAAUGGGUGGCAUACAUAAGCUCUGGUUCUGGAAGUAUUUACUACUCAGACAAAGUGAAGGAACGCUUCACCAUCUCCAGGGACAAUGCCAAAAGCCAGCUGUAUCUGCAAAUGAACAGCCUCAAAGCUGAAGACACGGGAGUCUAUUACUGUGCGAAAUGCACAGAAGAAGCAAGAUCCAGCUAUGAUUGGGAGAAGGGCUCUCUCAUUCACACACAUGCAGGCAUACACAUAUUUCCCAUACUUUUCCAUGCUUUAAAAUUAAAAUUUAGAGGUACUCACCUUCUUUCCAAGCAGCCUUUGAGCUCAACACUCAAAACCCCUUUAAAACCUAGUUCCAAAUGGCCAAGGUCCAGGAAAACUUACCCACAGACUCAAUGGGUCUGCUGCACAGGCCACGCCGACCCCAGCUCCAUGAAAAAGUUCAUGAUACAUCACAUGAAGGCAACGUGA